rfam:Bradyrhizobium sp. BR 10245 contig73, whole genome shotgun sequence.
ACAACAAUCCGGGCCCCUCUGGCGAGGACACCGACAACGUCGGCAAACCUCGCGAUGUCGGAUGACCUGU